GACGAACGCUGGCGGCGUGCCUAAUACAUGCAAGUAGAACGCUGAAGAGAGGAGCUUGCUCUUCUUGGAUGAGUUGCGAGCGGGUGAGUAACGCGUAGGUAACCUGCCUUGUAGCGGGGGAUAACUAUUGGAAACGAUAGCUAAUACCGCAUAACAAUGGAUGACACAUGUCAUUUAUUUGAAAGGGGCAAUUGCUCCACUACAAGAUGGACCUGCGUUGUAUUAGCUAGUAGGUGAGGUAAUGGCUCACCUAGGCGACGAUACAUAGCCGACCUGAGAGGGUGAUCGGCCACACUGGGACUGAGACACGGCCCAGACUCCUACGGGAGGCAGCAGUAGGGAAUCUUCGGCAAUGGGGGCAACCCUGACCGAGCAACGCCGCGUGAGUGAAGAAGGUUUUCGGACCGUAAAGCUCUGUUGUAAGUCAAGAACGGGUGUGAGAGUGGAAAGUUCACACUGUGACGGUAGCUUACCAGAAAGGGACGGCUAACUACGUG
rnacentral:rRNA from 1 species